ensembl:snRNA U6 U6 spliceosomal RNA
GUGCUUCGGCAGUACAUAUACUAAAAUUGAAAUGAUACAGAGAUUAGCGUGGCCCCUGCGCAAGGAUGACAUGCAAAUUCAUAAAACGUUCCAUAUUUUU